rnacentral:rRNA from 1 species
UACGUAGGGUCCAAGCGUUAUCCGGAAUCACUGGGCGUAAAGCGUACGUAGGUGGCGUGUUAAGUGAGAUGUUAAAUCGUGUGGCUCAACCAUACGUUGUGUCUCAUACUGGCAUGCUAGAGGACGGCAGAAGCAAGUGGAAUUACGAGUGUAGCAGUGAAAUGCGUAGAUAUUCGUAGGAACACCAAUGGCGAAGGCAGCUUGCUGGGCCACACCUGACACUGAGGUACGAAAGCGUGGGGAGCGAACAGG